CAACGGCAUCGCUGGGUAGCUAUGUAUGGACGGGUAUAAGUGCUGAAAGCAUCUAAGCAUCGAAGCCCCCCUCAAGAUGAGAUUUCCCAACUUCGGUUAUAAGAUCCCUCAAAGAUGAUGAGGUUAAUAGGUUCGAGGUGGAAGCAUAGCGAUAUGUGGAGCUGACGAAUACUAAUCGAUCGAAGACUUAAUCAAAUUUAAAAGUGUU
rnacentral:rRNA from 1 species